CAAAGAAUAUUUUAAUUGUAGAAUCCUAGUUUCGGGAACUGGGGGUGGGGGUUAAAAUCCCUCUUCUUUGA
rnacentral:tRNA from 1 species